GAACUCCUGAAAUGUACGAUACUCUUGCUAUUUUGAACCUACAUCAAUUAAUACGGGAUUCCUAAAUUCAUAUAAUUAUGUCAGGCCACCAUGUAGUGGAAGACAGAGGUAUAUAUGCGGAAACCCACCUAGCUAUGGCUAGGAGUCAAAAUACAGGAACCGGCAUUUUGGGGUAAUA
rnacentral:other from 1 species